rnacentral:sRNA from 1 species
GACUGUUUGCUCUUUUAAGGGUCAUGUUCUCUCCCCUGGUGAUCUUUUGACUCAGGGGUCAAUAGAGAACUGUUGGACCGUGUGAACUCCAAGCACAGGCAGGAACCAGAAGUAUCCUGACCAAGACCGCUCCUGGAUUCCUAUGACUUGAGGGCUCCAGUCGGGUCCUUCCUAUCUGAAAUUGUGGUCUGAUCUCUGUUCUCUGGUGAGUCAGAGCUCCUGGAUAGUGGCUUUCUGCUCCGUGCACAGAUAAAGACCAGAAGGAUCCUGUUCGGACUGCUCCUAGGAUCAUGUGUCCAGAAGGCUCCAGACAGGCACCUCUUGGGGCAAGGAUGUGAGCACAAGUGUUUGUCUCCACAGUGCUCUCAGGAUUAAAAGCAUUUCUGACUGUCCAGCUCUCUUCCCAUGGGAAUCGUGGUGCUGAGCGCUUUGGGCCUGUGUCGCCCUGGCCACAGUUGGGAAACCAGAAGUAUCCUGUCCAAGACUGCUCUAAGAUUCCUGUGUCCAGAGUGCUCCAGGCAGGUUCUUCUUGGGCCAGGAAUGUGCAGUAGUGGUGGUCUCCCCAGAGAUCUCAGGAGUGUCCGUACUUCUUACAGUCCACCUCUAUAUUUCAUAGGAUCUGGAUACAGAAAGCUAUAGGACUGGGCCACCUCAGGGUGCAGACAGAACUUGCAAGGGACCUAUACCAGUCUGCUCCUAAGUUCCUGUGUCAGGAAGGAUCCAGAUGGGUUUACCUUGGGCCAGGAAUGAGAGACAAGAGGAGGCCUCCCCUCUUCUUUCAGGAUUUUCUGCACUUCUGAGAGUGCACUAUUUCCACAGGGGAUCUGUGCAUAGAAAAUUAUGGGACUAAAUCAGUUCUGGGCUCAGUCACAAACCAGAGUUAUCCUGUCCCAGCCGACUCCUGGUUUCCUAAGUUCUGAGGGCUCCAUGAGCAUUUGUCAGAGCAGAAGUGUUGUUCUUAGCACUGCUCUCAAGUGUGUCAGUGCUCCUGGAUACUGGCUUUCAGCUCCAUGCAAGAGCAAAGACAAGAAGGAUCCCAUCCUUGGUUGCUCCUAGGAUCCUGUAUUUUGAGGACUGAAGGGAGGGUUCUCUUGGGCCAGGAAUGUGUGCAGAAGUGGUGGUCUCCUUUGUGCCCUCAGGAAUGAACACACUUCUGAGAGUCCUUCUCUCUUCCCAAGGGGUCCUGGUACAGAAAUCUGUGGGACCAUGUCAUCUCAGGUCACAGGCAGAAAUUAGAAUGAUCCUGUCCCAGAGGCUCAUGGCUUCCUGUGUUGUGAGAUCACCAGGAAGGUCCCUCAGAGUAGGAGUGGUGGUCUUACCUCUGCUUUCAGGUGUGUCUAGUAUACUGGAGACUGGCUUUCAGCUCAGAGUGCAGGCAGAGACUGGAAGUAUCAUGUCCCUGGCAGUACCUUGGUUCUUGGAUCCAGAAGCCUCCAGAUUGGGAACUCAUUGGGUAGGGAUGUGAGCAAAAGUGAUGGUUUCUCCUGUGUUCUCAGGACUGAAUGCACUUCUGACAGUCCUGGUCUCUCCAUAAAUGAUCUUGGUACAGAAAUAUCCAUGACCUGUUCUGCUCUAGGCACAGGCAGAGACUAGAAUGAUCCUGUCUCAAAAGGCUCCUGGUAUCCUAUGUUUUGAGGUCUCCAGGGGAAUCUCUCAGAGGAGACGCGGUGGUCUUACGUCUCCUUUCAAAUGUGGCAGGUAUACUGGAGACUGGCUUUCAACUGUGAGCACAAGAAGAGACAGGAAGGAUCAUGUCCCUGACAGCUCCUAGGUCCCCGUGUCUAGUAGUCUCCAGACUGGGCAUCUGGGUAUGGAGAACUUUGGGCCCGUGUCAGCACUGGGCCCAGACAGAAACCAGAAGGAUCCUGUCUAAGUCUGGUCUUACCUCCCUGUUUUCAGAGGGAUCCAGGUUGGUUCCUCUUGUGCCAGUUAUUUGUUCAGAUCCAAUGAUCUCCCCUGUCCCCUCAGGAUGGUCAAUACUUCUAAGCUCCACACUGUCUCCCCGUGGGAUCUGGGCACACAGAGCUGUGGAAACAGUUAAUUUUGGGAACAGGCAGAAAACAGAAGGUUCCUGUAGCAGACUGCUCCUGGUUUCUUAUGUCCUGAGGAAUCCAGGAGGGUAUUUUUGAGCAGAAAUUGUGGCGUUACCUCUGCUUUCAGGUGUGUCAGUGCUUUUGGAGACUGGCUUUCAACUCCACGCAAAGGCAAAGAAAGAAAGUAUCAUGUCCUUGACUGCUCAUAGGAUCCUGUGUCCUGAACCUAGGUGGGUUCCACUUGGUCAUUAAUGUGAGCCCUGUUGGUGGGCUCCCCUGAGAUCUCAAGAUUGAAUGUAGCUUUGAGAACCAUGCUUUCUCACCAUGGUAUCUGGUGAGAAAGAACUCUGGGAAGGUACCAGUCACAGGUACCAAGGUUCUCCUAUUCCAGAAGUGUCUGGGUUUCCUGUGUCCUGAGGGUUAUGCAAGGGUACCUUCAAGAAGAAAUUGUGGUCUUAAAGUCUGCUGUCAGGUGUGUCAGCGAUACUAGCUAUUGGCUUUCCUCUCUGUGCACAGGAAAUGACCAGAAGUAGUCUGCCCAUGACUGCUCCUAGGUUCCUGUAUCCAGAGUGUUCCAGGUGGGUUUCUCUUGUGCCAGGGAUUGUGAGCAACAGAGAUGGUCUCUCCUGUCCUCUCAGGAUGGUCCAGUCUUCUGAGAAGCACGCUCUCUCCUCAGGGGAUCUGGGUACAGAGAGCUGUGGAACCAGUUCAAUUUCUGGCACAGGCAGAAACCAGAAGGAUCCCGACCGAUGACUCCCUGUUUCCUAUGUCCUGAGGGCACCAGAAGGGUACAUUGGAGCAGAAAUUGUGGUCUUUCCUCUGCUUUCAGGUGUGUCAGGUAUACUGAAGAUUGGAUUUCUGCUAUGUGCACAGGCCACAACCAGAACGAUCAUGUCCUGACAGUUCCUAGGUUCCUAAGUGUCUAAAAGGCCCCAGACUGGUACCUCUUUGGUCAGGUUUGUCGCUGCUUUUGGAGAGUGGCCUUCAACUCUGUGCACAGGCAAAGACUGGAAGGAUUUUGUCCCUGAGGGCUCCUAGGAUCCUGUGUUCUGAGUGUCCCAGGUGGGUUCCUCUUGGGCCAGGAAUGUGAGCAGAAGUGGUGGUUCCCACUUAGCUCUCAGGAUUGUCCUCACUUCUUUGAGUACAGCUCAGUUCAUCGUGGGAUCUGGGUAAAGACUGGUGUAAGACUGGGUCAGCUCUGAGAGAGAUGGAAACUAGAAGGACCCAGUCUAAGUCUGCUCCUAGGUUCCUGUGUCCAGAAGCCUCCAGUCUGGUACACCUUGGGCCAGGAAUGUGAGCAGACGUGGUGGCCUCCCCUGUGCUCUUAGGGCUGAAUGUACUUCUGAAAGUCCCCUACUCUCCCCAUGGGAUCUUGGUACAGAAAUAUGUGGGACAGCAUUGGUACUGGCCACAUCUGGAAAGGAGAAGAAUCCUGUUCAAGUCUGCUCUCAGUUUCUUGUGUCCAGAGAUCUCCAGGUGGGUUCCUCUUGGGCCAGAAAUAUGAACAGCAGUGGUGAUCUCCCCUGAGCUCUCAGGAUUGUCUUCACUGCUGAGAGUCCACCUCUAUACUUCGUGGAUCUGGAUAAAAAAUUCUGUAGGACAGGGCCAGCUCAGGGUGCAGGAAUACUAUCCCUGUCUGCUCCUAGGUUCCUAUGUCCAGUGGGCUCCAGGAGGUUCCCUGGGAGGAGAUAUUGUGGUCUAACUUCUGCUCUCAAUUGGGUCAGUGCUACUGGACACUGGCUUUAAGCUCUGUGCAUGGACAAAGACCAGAAUAAUCGUGUCCCUCACUGUGCCUAGGUUCCAGUGUCCAGAGGGCUCCAUGAUGGUUCCACUUGUGCCUUGAAGGUGACCAGAAGAGAUUUUCUCCCCUGUCCUCUCAUGAUUGUCCAGUCUUCUAAGAUUCAUGCUCUCUCCCCCAGGGAAUCUGGGUAAAGAGCGCUGUGGGAUCAGGUGAGUUACAGUAACAGGCAAAAACCAGAAGGAUCCUGUCCCAGUCUGCACUUGGGUUCCUGUGUCCAGAUGCCUCUAGGCAACUUCCUUUCGGGACAGCUAUAUGAGCAGUCAUGGUGGUCUCCCCUGAGCGCUCAGGAAUCUCUGCUCUCUGAGUGUCCAGCUUCAUAGCACACGGGAGCUGGAUACAGAAACCUGUAGCAUCUGGUCAUGUCCGUGAGGAGAAGGAAUCUUCAAUGAUCCUAUCCCAGUCUGCUCCUACGUUCCUGUGCCCAGAGAGCUCCAGGCAGGUUCCUUUUGGGUCCAGAAGCUGACUAGAAGAGGUGGUCUCCCCUGUCCACUCAGAAUUGUCCUCAGUUUUGAUAAUCACAGUCUCUCCCCAGGGGAUCUGGGUACAGAGAGCUGUGUGACCAGGUCAGUUCCAGGCACAGGUAGGAACCAGAGAUAUCCUAUCCCAGACAGUUCCUAAUUUCUUAUGUCCUGAGGACUCCAGGAUGGUCUCACAGAGCAGAAGUGGUGGUGUGCUUGCCCCUCCUUUCAGUUGUGUGAGAGUAUUUUGUGUCUGGCUUUCAGCUCCAUGCACAGUCAAAGACCAGAAGGAUCCUGUCUCUGACUGCUUGUGGGAUUCUGUAUUUGGUAGGUUCCACGCGGGUUCCUCUUGGGAAAGGAAUGUGAGCAGAAGUGGUGUUUUCCCCUGAGCUCCCAGGAUAGUCUUCAAUUCUGUGAGUCUAACUCUAUUCCUCAUGGGAUCUGUGUACAGAGAGUGUGAAAGCAUGUCAGCUCUGAGAGCAAAUGGAAACCAGAACGAUCCUGUUCCAGUCAGAACCUGGGUUCCUGUGUCCACAAGGCUCUAGAUUGGUACCUGUUAGACCAGGAAUGUGAGCAGAGGUGUUGGAUGCCCCUGUGCUCUCAGGAUUGAACACACUUCUGAGAGACCCGUUCUCUCCUCAAGGGAUCUAUGUACAGAAAUCUGUAGGACAGGGUCAGCUCUGACACAGGCAUAAAUUAGAAUGGUCCUGUCCCAGAUGGCUCCUACUUUCCUAUGUGCUGAGAUAUCCAGGCGGGUCCCUCGGUGUAGAAAUGGUGGUCUUACCUCUUCUUUCAGAUCUGUCAGGUAUCCUGGAGAAGGACUUUCAGCUCUGAGAGCAGUCUGAGAGCUGAUGGAUCUUGUAUCUGACAGCUCCUAGGUUCCUGUGUCCAGAAGGCUCCAGCCUGGUACCUCUUGGUGCA